CUACGUGCCAGCAGCCGCGGUAACACGGAAGGUCCAGGCGUUAUCCGGAUUUAUUGGGUUUAAAGGGAGCGUAGGCCGGAGAUUAAGUGUGUUGUGAAAUGUAGACGCUCAACGUCUGACUUGCAGCGCAUACUGGUUUCCUUGAGUACGCACAACGUUGGCGGAAUUCGUCGUGUAGCGGUGAAAUGCUUAGAUAUGACGAAGAACUCCGAUUGCGAAGGCAGCUGACGGGAGCGCAACUGACGCUUAAGCUCGAAGGUGCGGGUAUCAAACAGGAUUAGAUACCCUGGUAGUCCGCACAGUAAACGAUGGAUGCCCGCUGUUGGUACCUGGUAUCAGCGGCUAAGCGAAAGCAUUAAGCAUCCCACCUGGGGAGUACGCCGGCAACGGUGAAACUCAAAGGAAUUGACGGGGGCCCGCACAAGCGGAGGAACAUGUGGUUUAAUUCGAUGAUACGCGAGGAACCUUACCCGGGCUUGAA
rnacentral:rRNA from 1 species